GUGCUCGCUUCAGCAGCACAUACACUAAAAUUGGAACCAUAAAGAGAAGAUUAGCAUGGCCCCUGUGCAAGGAUGACAUGCAAAUUAGUGAAGCGUUCCAUAAUUUU
rnacentral:snRNA from 1 species